GAUGAACGCUAGCUACAGGCUUAACACAUGCAAGUCGAGGGGUAACAAGAGGAAAGCUUGCUUUUCUUGUUGACGACCGGCGCACGGGUGAGUAACGCGUAUCCAACCUGCCUAUAACUAGGGAAUAACCUUGUGAAAGUAAGACUAAUACCCUAUGAUUUCCUUUGAUGACAUCAGAUUAGGAAUAAAGAUUUAUCGGUUAUAGAUGGGGAUGCGUCUGAUUAGCUUGUUGGCGGGGUAACGGCCCACCAAGGCAACGAUCAGUAGGGGUUCUGAGAGGAAGGUCCCCCACAUUGGAACUGAGACACGGUCCAAACUCCUACGGGAGGCAGCAGUGAGGAAUAUUGGUCAAUGGGCGGAAGCCUGAACCAGCCAAGUAGCGUGCAGGAUGACGGCCCUAUGGGUUGUAAACUGCUUUUGUACAGGAAUAAAGUUAGCCACGUGUGGUUAUUUGUAGGUACUGUAUGAAUAAGGACCGGCUAAUUCCGUGCCAGCAGCCGCUGUAA
rnacentral:rRNA from 1 species